GCCUCACUCAACCUCCUCAUCGCAGAGACACUCAAUACCUGCAGUUCAAAGAAUGAGGGGUGCUGCCCUGGAAGGAUCCUUCUGCAAGCUGGCCACUGACCUUUGACUUCCAUGACCUCACUCAACAAGUGAUUGAGGGUCAGAAGAUGUGGAGAUGUAUGUUUCCCUAUUUCUGGCCCUGAGAUGCAUUUUAUGAGAGGGUUCUGGGUUCCUUGCUGGACUGUCAG